rnacentral:rRNA from 1 species
AGAGUUUGAUCCUGGCUCAGGAUGAACGCUGGCGGCGUGCCUAACACAUGCAAGUCGAACGAAGCUUGACGGAUGAUUUCUUCGGAAUGAAACCUGAUAUGACUUAGUGGCGGACGGGUGAGUAACACGUGAGCAACCUGCCUUUCAGAGGGGGAUAACGGCUGGAAACGGUCGCUAAUACCGCAUGACGUGUUCGGAUGGCAUCAUCUGAACAUCAAAGAUUUAUCGCUGAAAGAUGGGCUCGCGUCUGAUUAGAUAGUUGGUGGGGUAACGGCCUACCAAGUCUACGAUCAGUAGCCGGACUGAGAGGUUGAACGGCCACAUUGGGACUGAGAUACGGCCCAGACUCCUACGGGAGGCAGCAGUGGGGAAUAUUGCACAAUGGGGGAAACCCUGAUGCAGCAACGCCGCGUGAAGGAUGACGGUUUUCGGAUUGUAAACUUCUUUUCUUAGUGACGAAGACAGUGACGGUAGCUAAGGAAUAAGCAUCGGCUAACUACGUGCCAGCAGCCGCGGUAAUACGUAGGAUGCAAGCGUUAUCCGGAUUUACUGGGUGUAAAGGGAGCGCAGGCGGGACUGCAAGUUGGAUGUGAAAUACCGUGGCUUAACCACGGAACUGCAUCCAAAACUGUAGUUCUUGAGUGAAGUAGAGGCAAGCGGAAUUCCGAGUGUAGCGGUGAAAUGCGUAGAUAUUCGGAGGAACACCAGUGGCGAAGGCGGCUUGCUGGGCUUUAACUGACGCUGAGGCUCGAAAGUGUGGGGAGCAAACAGGAUUAGAUACCCUGGUAGUCCACACUGUAAACG